UUGGCAGCACUGCUGACUGGCGACAUUCUGUUGAGAGAUGAAGCUCGUGGAUUGGUGUACUACUGUGUGAAAAAUUUUCAUGAACGCGGUUUAAUAAAGAUAUAACAGACGUCUGCUGAAGCGCAAUAUGAGUUCAACAUAUUCCAGGAAAUCGGACCGAAAACUGAUAUUUACUCAGGAAAUCCUAGACGAAGCUAGAAACAGAAUUGAAAACGGUGAAAGUCAAAGAAAAGUAGCUGCUUCAUUGGGAACGAAAGAAUCCACUCUGAGAAAUAGAUUGAAAUUGGGAACUGUACCAAUUUCCCUGGGACGUCAUAAGCCUAUGUUUACUCCUGAGCAGGAAUGGCAACUGGCAGACCAUUUGAGGGAGCCGGACAAGAGAUUCUAUGGCAUUACCAGGAAAUAGCUUAUGAGUUUAGCGUACGAGUUUGCUGACAAGAACAAAAUUGAACAUAGGUUCAACAGGACUGUGAGAUUAGCAGGAAAGAUCUGGGUAUUGGCCUUCUGCAAGAGGCAAAAUCUAACACUCCAGAUUACGCGCUCCAGAGAAAUGUAGUCUAGGGAGAGCAAUUGGAGUCAACAAAAUCCAAUGUGAGCAAUUUCAUAAUAAUUUGGUCAGUGUGUAUGCUGAGAAAAAGUUCCCAGCUCAUUGUAAAUUAAGUGUGGGCAAGUCUGGUAUCUCGACAGUACCCAAUCGUGUCCCAAACGUAAUAUCCCAAAAGGGAAAGAAAAUUGUCUGCAAAGUACCAUCAGGCGAGAGAGGGCAGACAGUAACUGUAGUGUGCUGUAUAGGCCCCACAGGCAUAUUUGUUCCUCCAGCUGUGAUGUUUGCAAGAAAG